AUUGAACGCUGGCGGCAGGCCUAACACAUGCAAGUCGAGCGGAGCGGCGGACGGGUGAGUAAUGCCUAGGGAUCUGCCUGGCAGUGGGGGAUAACGUCCGGCAACGGGCGAUAAUACCGCAUACUAUCAGACGAGCCUAGGUCGGAUUAGCUAGUUGGUGGGGUAAAGGCCUACCAAGGCGACGAUCCGUAACUGGUCCGAGAGGAUGAUCAGUCACACUGGAACUGAGACACGGUCCAGACUCCUACGAGAGGCAGCAGUGGGGAAGAUUGGACAAGGGGCGAAAGCCUUAUCCAGCCAUGCCGCGUGUGUGAAGAAGGUCUUCGGAUUGUAAAGCACUUUAAGUUAGGAGGCGUUACCAACAGAAUAGGCACCAACUAACUUCGUGCCAGCAGCCGCGGUAAUUC
rnacentral:rRNA from 1 species